rnacentral:rRNA from 1 species
CAGUAGCCACGGGAACACGAAGGGUGCAAGCGUUACUUGGAAUUACUGGGCGUAAAGCGUGCGUAGGUGGUGGUUUAAGUCCGUUGUGAAAGCCCUGGGCUCAACCUGGGAAUUGCAGUGGAUACUGGGUCACUAGAGUGUGGUAGAGGAUAGUGGAAUUUCCGGUGUAGCAGUGAAAUGCGUAGAGAUCGGAAGGAACAUCUGUGGCGAAGGCGACUAUCUGGGCCAACACUGACACUGAGGCACGAAAGCGUGGGGAGCAAACAGGAUUAGAUACCCCAGUAGUCCCUGUCUCUUAUAC